rnacentral:rRNA from 1 species
CACGGGGGGAGCAAGCGUUGUUCGAAAUCACUGGGCGUAAAGCGUGCGUAGGCGGUCCGCGAAGUCUGAUGUGAAAGCCCCGGGCUCAACCUGGGAACUGCAUUGGAAACUAACGGGCUCGAGUGUGGCAGAGGGGGGUGGAAUUCCACGUGUAGCAGUGGAAUGCGUAGAUAUGCGGAGGAACACCGAUGGCGAAGGCAAUCCCCUGGACCUGUACUGACGCUCAUGCACGAAAGCGUGGGGAGCAAACAGG